rnacentral:rRNA from 1 species
CACGUGGACAACCUACCCUGUGGAGGGGGAUAACCCCGGAAAACUGGGGAUAAUACCCCAUAGGUUAGGGAGGCUGGAAUGCCCCCUAGCUCAAAGGUCCGCCGCCACAGGAUGGGUCUGCGGCCGAUUAGGUUGUUGUUGGGGUAACGGCCCAACAAGCCUUUGAUCGGUACGGGUUGUGGGAGCAAGAGCCCGGAGAUGGAUUCUGAGACACGAAUCCAGGCCCUACGGGGCGCAGCAGGCGCGAAAACUUUACAAUGCGAGAAAUCGUGAUAAGGGAACCCGAGUGCCCGUAAAUUCGGGCUGUCCGCCAGUGCAAAAACUGGUGAAGAAAGAGCCGGGCAAGACCGGUG